UGGUUGUCGUCAGCUCGUGCCGUGAGGUGUUGGGUUAAGUCCCGCAACGAGCGCAACCCUCAUUGUUAGUUACUACCAUUCAGUUGAGGACUCUAAUGAGACUGCCAACGAUAAGUUGGAGGAAGGUGGGGAUGACGUCAAAUCAUCAUGCCCUUUAUGACCUGGGCUACAAACGUACUACAAUGGCCAAUACAAAGAGAUGCGAAGCGGUGACGUGGAGCGAACCUCAGAAAGUUGGUCUCAGUUCAGAUUGAAGUCUGCAACUCGACUUCAUGAAGGCGGAAUCGCUAGUAAUCGCGGGUCAGCAGACCGCGGUGAAUACGUUCCCGGGUUUU
rnacentral:rRNA from 1 species